GACGAACGCUGGCGGCGUGCUUAACACAUGCAAGUCGAACGGAAAGGCCUCUUUCGGGGGGUACUCGAGUGGCGAACGGGUGAGUAACACGUGAGUAACCUGCCCUUGACUUUGGGAUAACUUCAGGAAACUGGGGCUAAUACCGGAUAGGAGCUCCUGCUGCAUGGUGGGGGUUGGAAAGUUUCGGCGGUUGGGGAUGGACUCGCGGCUUAUCAGCUUGUUGGUGGGGUAGUGGCUUACCAAGGCUUUGACGGGUAGCCGGCCUGAGAGGGUGACCGGCCACAUUGGGACUGAGAUACGGCCCAGACUCCUACGGGAGGCAGCAGUGGGGAAUAUUGCACAAUGGGUGGAAGCCUGAUGCAGCAACGCCGUGUGCGGGAUGACGGCCUUCAGGUUGUAACCCGCUUUCGCUCAUGACGAAGCUUUGUGUGACGGUAGUGGGUAAAGAAGCACCGGCUAACUACGUG
rnacentral:rRNA from 1 species